rnacentral:lncRNA from 1 species
AAUAAGAUCCUAAAUAAUAUGCAAGACUUUAAAAUUUAUUAUAAUCUCAAGAUCCCGUAAAUAUUAUUGAUUUCAAUUCAUAACAAUGAUUUCAUAUUAACAAAUAUCAAAUCUUAUAUAAUUUACACAACUCGAUCAUCUAACUUUUGUUGUUGAUAUUUCAUCUAAUCAUUCCUUUUAAAUGGAGAUCUCAACCUUAGCAAAUAUAAGCAUUAUAUAACUCUUAAAAGGAAAAGAAAAAUGGAGGGG